UCCUGUUACUCAAGAAGGCAGGUCCUGGGUAGAUCCCAGGGAGGUGAGUUGGUGGGGGAUAAAGAGCUCCUGUGUGGCCAGCAGCUGGCUGCAGUUCCCCAGGAAACAGCUUCCGGCAGACACUCAAUCUCCAGUUGUAACAGGUGGUGUGGAGUCCGCUGUCCCAGGGAGUGGGCUCAAGGCCUAGUCCUGCCAAUGAACUUGCUGUAGAAACUUUUCUGUCUAUCAAAUGAGGUUGGAAUGCACUGGUGCAAUAAUUGCUCACUGCAGCCAUGACCUCCCAUGCUCAAGCAAUCCUCCCACCUCAGCCUCCCACGUAGCUGGGACUACAGCUUCUCCAUUUCCACCUUUGCAAACUCUGGACUCCAAGGACGCAAGAUGGCCGGAAACAAGAUGGUGGAGCAUGUAUUGGAAACUUAAUCCGCAAUUCAAAUGUGCUGGGGAGUGGAGCCUAAUGGAGCCCUCAUGAGAAUGGAUUAAUGCCAGUUGUGAAAGGGCUUGCGGCUGCGAGUUCAAUCUCUUGUUCACCCUCACCUUCUCUUACGUUUUCACCUUCCACCAUGAAUGAUGCAGCAUGAAGGCCCUUGCCAGAUGACAGCACUAUGCCCUUGGACUCCCCAGCCUCCAUAACCAUGGGCCAAAUAAACUUCUAUUGUUUUAAAUUGC
rnacentral:lncRNA from 1 species